rnacentral:rRNA from 1 species
UCGAGAAUUUUUCUCAAUGGGGGAAACCCUGAAGGAGCGACGCCGCGUGGAGGAUGAAGGUCUUCGGGUUGUAAACUCCUGUCAUUUGGGAACAAUGCUGCCGCAUUAACUGUGCGGUAGUUGAUAGUACCAGAAGAGGAAGAGACGGCUAACUCUGUGCCAGCAGCCGCGGUAAUACAGAGGUCUCAAGCGUUGUUCGGAUUCAUUGGGCGUAAAGGGUGCGUAGGUGGCGCCGUAAGUCAGGUGUGAAAUUUCGGAGCUUAACUCCGAAACUGCAUUUGAUACUACGGUGCUUGAGGACUGGAGAGGAGACUGGAAUUUACGGUGUAGCAGUGAAAUGCGUAGAGAUCGUAAGGAAGACCAGUGGCGAAGGCGGGUCUCUGGACAGUUCCUGACACUGAGGCACGAAGGCCAGGGGAGCAAACGG